UAUGUUUCGCCUAUUCAUCUUCUCUUGAUAACCCUCCUUUUAAGCCAUGGGUUCGUUCCCGUCACCUACACCAAAGCUGAGUCGAUCAAUUGCUUGAUGGCAGGAAACACUCACAUUGGAGGAAGAGGCGCUGGCAGAGGAAGGCGGCUUGCCACGGGACUCCACGGCACGGUCGCCGGCGUUCUGCACCUUCCACCGUUGUCUCCUGUAGGUGUAUAUCUCCCUUCCUCUGGCCGCCCAUGUCCCUGCUACAGCCGGUGGACCUCCACGGAUCGGACGACGAGGGCACCGACGACCAUGGACAGUCCCGCGACGCCAGGCAUGUCCGACCUCUUUCGGUGGCUUUCUGCUGCCCCUACAUGUGGAGCUCAACAUGGAGGAACUCGCCGUGGCCCGAGUAUCGCUCUGUCCACCGCCCCGCACGUCAACUGCUCCAACGCCCACCAAGUGUUUGGUGUAAUGUCGGUAUGGGCGGAUGGCUGUAGCAUCGGCAACCCAACGGAUCUGAUUACCGAAUGCCAUGCGGCGACCGCAGUGUGCUGAUGCAUGCCUGCGACAUGACCGACACACUGGAACAACUCAACUCCUUCUGGCUUCCCAACCUCCGGCGUGCCCAUGUGAUGCUGCCUACAGCCUCCCAUGCAUCAGGUGAAGCUGCUGGAGAUCAUGGUGUGGGUUCAAGAUGAACCUCAUGGAUGAACGACAGGGUCACACGUUGCCUCCAUGCCAGAUACACUCUGCUGCCGUGCUGCUGAUGUUGCGUCAACGGCGCUGAGGAAUUUGCAUGUGAGCAAGUAGCUAACCACUUAAUCCAUGAUUAAAUCUCCUAAUUAGCCUCGCCAUGUCGUUCGUUUCAGUUCCUGCAUCUCUGACUCUGUUCCUACAAGUGGUGAUGGGCAGGACGAAUUUGUAAUCCCCUUUGCCUGCUGGUACCUACCGCAUGGCAUUAU